GAUGAACGCUGGCGGCGUGCCUAACACAUGCAAGUCGAGCGGACAGACGAGGCUCUUGCUCCUCUGACGCUGGCGGCGGGCGGGUGAGUCACACGAGGCUACCUUGCCUUUGGGACUAGGAUACGUAAGGGGGACCGAAGCUAAUAACGGAUCAUAUAUUGAACGGGGGGGUUCAAUAGAGAAAGCGGGAUUUGAUGGACCUGAUACGUAUUAGCUAGUUGGAUGGGUAACGGCGUACCAAGGCGACGAUCCGUAGCUGAUCUGAGAGGGUGAUCGGCCACACUGGAACUGAGACACGGUCCAGACUCCUACGGGAGGCAGCAGUAGGGAAUCUUCGGCAAUGGGCGAAAGCUUGACCGAGCAACGCCGCGUGAGUGAAGAAGGUCUUCGGAUCGUAAAACUCUUUUAGUAGGGAAGAACGGCUGUAUAAGUAUCUAUGCCUGUCUUGACGGUACCUACAGAAAAAGCACCGGCUAACUACGUG
rnacentral:rRNA from 1 species